AGAGUUUGAUCCUGGCUCAGAACGAACGUUAGCGGCGCGCCUAACACAUGCAAGUCGAACGCGACAGGGGCAACUCUGUUGAGUGGCGCACGGGUGAGUAACACGUAGGUAAUCUCCCCUCGAGUGGUGGAUAACCUUCCGAAAGGAGGGCUAAUACAGCAUAAGACCACGGCCUCGAAAGAGGCUGAGGUCAAAGCGGAGGAUCGCAAGACUUCGCGCUUGAGGAUGAGCCUGCGGCCCAUCAGGUAGUUGGCGGAGUAAAAGCCCACCAAGCCUAAGACGGGUAGCUGGUCUGAGAGGAUGAUCAGCCACACUGGAACUGAGACACGGUCCAGACUCCUACGGGAGGCAGCAGUGGGGAAUCUUGCGCAAUGGACGAAAGUCUGACGCAGCGACGCCGCGUGGGUGAUGAAGGCCUUCGGGUUGUAAAGCCCUGUGGGGAGGGACGAAUAAGUUCCGGCUAAUACCCGGAGCGAUGACGGUACCUCCUUAGCAAGCACCGGCUAACUCUGUGCCAGCAGCCGCGGUAAGACAGAGGGUGCAAACGUUGUUCGGAAUUACUGGGCGUAAAGCGCGUGUAGGCGGCCAUGCAAGUCGGAUGUGAAAGCCCUCGGCUCAACCGGGGAAGUGCACUCGAAACUGCAAGGCUAGAGUCUCGGAGAGGAUCGUGGAAUUCUCGGUGUAGAGGUGAAAUUCGUAGAUAUCGAGAGGAACACCGGUGGCGAAGGCGGCGAUCUGGACGAUGACUGACGCUGAGACGCGAAAGCGUGGGGAGCAAACAGGAUUAGAUACCCUAGUAGUCC
rnacentral:rRNA from 1 species